CUUUUUUACAACAUUUACACAUUUUUCCUCUCCCCCAUUUUGAACAGACGUGUUCUAUCGUUCUUGCCAUUUUCUGAAAUUGUCCAGCAAGUCCUUUUUCAUGAGUGUCUUUGGAGGAGUGACUGAAGCUAGAGUAAAUGCUGCUGCCAGGUGCCAUCUGUGGGAGUCAGAUUCAUGAAAACACUACCUUGUGUUCAUAACCACUUUAUUCAUCAGACCUGGUACAGUGCAAAAUCUGACUUACCGUCAAAGACAAAAUGGCCAUGGAAGAUAACCAUUUUAAACUGACUCAGGACAUCUGGACAACCAUGAUAGCACAACUAGGACACUCACAAGAGAGGACUUUUGAAACUGUUGUGUUGCUUGAUACAACUACUGUGCUGGAUGAACUAGGAUGGAAGACGUAUCCAUUAAAUGGGGUGAUGGAUGCGGACACACUGUACUAGGCCUUGAAAGUGGAACUCUUGCAUCUAUAAACUACCCGCAGACCUAUCCCAGCAGUACCAUUUGCAAAUGGGAGAUCCAUGUCAAGAUGGGAGAAUGAAUUCGGGUCAAAUUGGGUGAUGUUAACAUUGAAGAUUCUGAUUCUUGUCAUUUUAAUUACUUGAGAAUUUAUAAUGGAAUUGGACUUGGCAGAACAGAAAUAGGUAGGACAUUUUCUUAGAAGUGUAUUUGUAGUACAUUUUUGCUUUAAGUUUCAAAACUAAAGCAGUUUCAUAUUUAACAUUGAGUAACUGCUGCAUGAGGCAGUAUGUGAGAAAUUAUUGAAAGUGUAGAAAUCUCAAAUUUGAAUCUUUUGUAAAAGGAAGGUUAUCUAUUUACACUUCUAGUACAUUUGUGUUGGUACCUUUGCAUAAGAUGCUACUGUACUACAAAGAAGGAAGAAAUUAUCCUUUGUGUUUUCCAUUGAUCAUUUUGUUUACAGUAGAAAAUACAAGCAUGAUUCAUGCUUAGGAGACUGUGUAAUAAGAAGAUGGGUUUUGGAUCCAAACUGCCUGAGAUAAAGGCUUUACUCUGCCAUGAAUUGACUGUAUGAUCUUGGGCAAUUCACUUUACUUUUCUAUUUUCUCAUUUAUGAAAUAGAGAAUGAAACUAAUUCAAAUAAAGUCCUAGCAGUUACACCAGACACAUAUAUUUAGUAAAUAGUAGUUAUCAUUGUACUCUUGUUUAAAAAGUCAUUCUCAAUUAUAGCUGCAUACUACAGGUCUUCUGAGACUUAAAAAAAAAAACAUUGUAUAUGUGGUUCCCAUCAUAGACCAGCUAAAUUAGAAUUGAUUGAGUGAAACCAAGAUCUCAGUUUGAUAAAAGUUUUUCAGGAAAAUUUACUUUGCAACCAAAGUUUGGAACCUUUGGUUUAGAGAUCAGUACCAUUCUUAAGGUACUUAAAAAGUAAAAUUUGAAAGAUUUACAAGACAGUUUUGGUGAAGUAAUGUUACAAAUUAAGAACUCUAGAAUUUUCUUUGUUUAGAAACAUUGAUUGGUGCUGGUGUAUAAAAUGUCUUUUAGAACUAUAAUAGGUAUGUAGGAUUCUGUUUUUAAUACACUGCAUUCAUUGUCAGUUCUCCCCAUGUCUAGCCAGAUCUUUGACUUCUCUUACACACCAGAGGAAGGAUUUCUGCUGUGUUUCUCUGGUUGAUGAGUGAUAACCAGUUGUCUCUCAUCAGUUCUUGAUUAACAUGUUAGCUUGAUCACAACCUACAUAGUUCCAUCAAUAUAAGGUAUCUGAUAACUUGUAGAAAUUCAGAUUACAGAGAAUGUAGAAACAAUUUUUACUCUUACUAGUAGAAGACCACUAAAUGUUAAAUGCCUGCUGACAGUGCAGUAGAGGGUGGGCACUAUCACCUGAACAUUCUUGAAACAACAUUGAGAAAAGGUGAGUCCCAGCCUAG
rnacentral:lncRNA from 1 species